rnacentral:rRNA from 1 species
UACGAAGGGUCCAAGCGUUGUUCGGAAUCAUUGGGCGUAAAGCGUGAGUAGGUGGUUUGCUAAGUCGGGUGUGAAAUCCCUGGGCUCAACCCAGGAAGUGCAUUCGAAACUAGCUGGCUAGAAGAUGGUAGAGGAAGGUGGAAUUCCAAGUGUAGAGGUGAAAUUCGUAGAUAUUUGGAGGAAUACCGGCGGCGAAGGCGGCCUUCUGGACCAUUCUUGACACUGAGACACGAAAGCGUGGGUAGCAAACAGG